AGCUUUUUUUCGUUGAAUUAGCCCCGGUUGCGCAUUCGCUGUGAUGAGAUGCCUGUGGGUUGUCUUUUUUUUUUCUUUUUACUUUUUUUAUUCUAAAUCCAUCGUUUUUACCACGUGUGCGUCAGGUACAUGAACACAAUUUUUUUCUGGUUUAAGGAAAUCAGCUUUCCAAAACUAAAACACAAAAUAUUUGGGAGGAAAAAAAAACGCGCUUUUUUGUUCUGUGGGUACGUAUGUAGGUGAGUGAGCAUCUGCCAAGUUUCAUCGUCGUCUGCUCGGAAGAAAUCAAAAGAAGUCGCCAUCGACUGUAAAAGUCUGCAUUUAGUUAAUCCACUUUGGGAAAUACAGUAAAACUGAACUGCUAAUACAAUGAACAUUUGUGAAAUAUGAGAGGGAAGCUUCAAGUUAAUGCUUCAGACGAACUGACCCAUAUCUAUCUAUAUAUCUUUAUAUAUAAAAUAUAUAUAUUAAACAUAUAUAUAUAUAUAUAUAAAAACUAGUGCAUGAUUGUUAUGUUUUGAAUUAAUGUUCAUCUGACCAAAAAAAAACCUUUUUUUUUCCUGUUCUUAACAAAUGAACUUUAUAGGAUUCGGACUUCCAGAUCUGUCCUGUGUUGUUUAAAACUGGAUGAGAUGACAAUGCAAAAAAUGGAAGUAACAAGAAGCAUCAUACUUUUCUUCUGUUCAGCAGUGUUGAGAAAAAACUGUGGAUCCUGGAAUUUUACUGUGGAUUUUACUGGUUUUCUGGAGUACUUUCCUGUUGAAACAGAAAUUGCCCUGUGUCAAGCGAGAAUCACUUGCCAGGAGGACCUGAUGCGUCUUUGCGCUCAGUCAAAGUUACAGACUUUCUGAUAGCACCCGUGAAGAAAAAAAAUGUCCAGUGAUGGUAAUGCAUGCACAUUAAAUAUCUUCAUUGUAGAGUGUUCUUCAGUACCUUAUAUCAUGGUUUAAAAAAAAAAUCAAAAUACCAUUUGGAAUGUCAACAUUCAGUGGGCUUUGAGGAGAUGUAGCAGCACAUCAUGGUUUGUAGGGACAAGGAGAUACAGACCAUUCUGGGCUGCCUCAUUACCUCAAGGAUAAGACAAGAAAGUGAGCUUCUGGUUAUCAUAGAUGUGGAAGCUAACACAUUCCCCUGUAUCUCUUUAGUUCAGUUGAACAGGUACGUGUAGAUAAGUUUUCUCGAUGCUUGUGUCUGUGCACUUCCUUUGCAGCUGCAAAUACAUACUGUAUGAAUUUGUGCUUGUGUGUGUCUGAACGGGGCUGGGCCUGCAGGCAGGAAGGACUUUCAGCUCCUUUU
rnacentral:lncRNA from 1 species